rnacentral:rRNA from 1 species
AACGAACGCUGGCGGCAUGCCUAACACAUGCAAGUCGAACGAGACCUUCGGGUCUAGGGGCGCACGGGGGCGUAACGCGGGGGAACCUGCCCGUAGGUUCGGAAUAACUCACCGAAAGGGGUGCUAAUACCGGAGAAUGUCUUCGGACCAAAGAUUUAUCGCCUUUGGAUGGGCGCGCGUUGGAUUAGCUGGUUGGUAGGGGAAAAGCCUACCAAGGCGACGAUGCAUAGCUGGUCUGAGAGGAUGCUCCGCUACACUGGGACUGAGACACGGCCCAGACUCCUACGGGACGGAGCAGUGGGGAGUAUUGGGCGAUGGGCGAAAGCCUGAUCCAGCAAUGCCGCGGGAGUGAUGAAGGCCUUAGGGUUGUAAAGCUCUUUUAGCCGAGAUGAUAAUGACAGUACCGGGAGAAUAAGCACCGGCUAACUCCGUG